rnacentral:tRNA from 1 species
GCCGUCCUAGCUCAAUGGUAGAGCUACAGUUUUGUAAACUGUGGGUUAUCGGUUCGAAUCCGAUGGACGGCUC